AUUGAACGCUGGCGGCAUGCCUAACACAUGCAAGUCGAACGGCAGCACAGUAACAGGUUGCGCUUAGGGGCGGAGAGUGGAGGAAUAGUGAGGAAUGUACCGGAUUCUACGGUUUCAUGGGGGAUAACGUAGGGUAAUUUACGCUAAGACCUCAUACGACCUACGGGGGAAAGCAGGGGAUCUUCGGGCCUUGCGGGAUGGAAGGAGCCGAUGUCGGAUUAGCUAGAUAGCGGGGUAAAGGCGUACCAAGGCGACGAUCCGUAGCUGGUCUGAGAGGAUGAUCCGCCACACUGGAACUGAGACACGGCCCAGACUCCUACGGGAGGCAGCAGUGGGGAAUAUUGGACAAUGGGCGCAAGCCUGAUCCAGCCAUACCGCGUGGAUGAUGAAGGCCUUCGGGUUGUAAAGCGCUUUUGUUCGGAAAGAAAAGCAGCCGUUUAAUACAGGGCUGUUAUGACGGUACCGAAAGAAUAAGCACCGGCUAACUUCGUG
rnacentral:rRNA from 1 species